CUGCUCAAUGAAUAAUUUUAAAUAGCUGCAGUAUAAAUAACUGUACAAAGGUAGCAUAAUAAUUUGUUUUUUAAUUAAAAACUAGAAUGAAUGAUUAAAUGAAAUAUAAACUAUAUCAAAUUUAUAAAAUAAAUUUAUUAUUUAAAUAAAAAAAUUUAAAUAAUUUUUAAAGACGAGAAGACCCUAAAGAAUUUUAAUAAUAAAUUAAAAUAUAAAUUUAUAAAUUAUUAUAUUAAUUGGGGAAAUUUUAAAAUUUAAAAAAUUUUUAAUUAAAUAAACAUAAAUUUUUGAAUAUAUAAAAUUUUUUUAAAAAAUUAAAUUAAAUUACCUUAGGGAUAACAGCAUAAUUUUUUUAAAAAG
rnacentral:rRNA from 1 species